UGGGGAAUAUUGGACAAUGGGCGCAAGCAUGAUCCAGCCAUGCCGCGUGAGUGACGAAGGCCUUAGGGUUGUAAAGCUCUUUUGGCGGGGAAGAUAAUGACGGUACCCGCAGAAUAAGCUCCGGCUAACUUCGUGCCAGCAGCCGCGGUAAUACGAAGGGAGCUAGCGUUGUUCGGAAUCACUGGGCGUAAAGCGCACGUAGGCGGAUGUGUCAGUCAGGGGUGAAAUCCCGGAGCUCAACUUCGGAACUGCCCUUGAUACAGCACGUCUUGAGUCCGAUAGAGGUGGGUGGAAUUCCUAGUGUAGAGGUGAAAUUCGUAGAUAUUAGGAAGAACACCGGUGGCGAAGGCGGCCCACUGGAUCGGUACUGACGCUGAGGUGCGAAAGCGUGGGGAGCAAACAGGAUUAGAUACCCCCGUAGUCCCUGAGCGGGCUGGCAAGGCGCAU
rnacentral:rRNA from 1 species